CGCACACACACACACAUGCACGCGCUCACACACAUAACCAUCUUCACAACCCUUCCAAGAGAAAACCUAGAGUGUGUGUGUCCGUUUGGGUCUGGGAGGGCGAAAGACAGUUGUUUUGGGGACCCCAAUCUUGCCUAGCGUCUCAGCUGGGGGGAGGCGGGGUCCCUGCAAGGCUGCCCCGGGAACUCCGGCCCCGCGUCCCGCAGGAGGGCGGAGGGAGAGCACGCACACUUUCGCCAGCUUCCAAACGGCCCAAUUAAUAACUAAUUUGCCGAGAUCCCCCACUCCAAGUAGACCUGACGGCCAAGAAAGGACUGGCUUUCCCUCUCAGUCUCCUAGGCUGGAGGACUCCUUCCUGCAGCUGGGCAGAGCUCCCCUCCGUCCCCACCACCGCGCCAGGCGCCCCCACCCCGUGCCCAGGGGAAUCAGGUGUCCGCCCGGGCAUCCAGCCCCCGCGGGACCCAGACACACAGUUCAGGGAUAGACAAUGGAAAACUUGGAGCCGGUGCCCUGAGCCCCCGGGGAAAACAGCUGGUGCCACCCCCCGGGACAAUGAGCGGGGAGACGGAGUGGGACAGCCGACACCCCCCAGAGAAGCCGCCGGCCCAGUGACCCAGCAGAGCCCGGAGCAGCGCCCCGGGGUGGGCAAUGCUAUUUACCUGGGAUCCUAUCCAGCAGCUUCAAAGGUGAUGGCGGCCAUUACCCAACUAAUAAGCACAACAUCCCCUGGCUCCCCGUCCUCAAGGCAGGAAGAUGCUGUGAUGCGCAUCAGGAGAUGGAGGGAAAAGAAAUGACUUGCCCACCUGAGUGACAGAAACAGUUGGGAAAAGAGAUUAAGGAAGAGAUGAUGCUGUUGGCUCCAGGCAGUGACUCAAGGAGGCAUUCAUGGUGAAAGAAGAAAGACCUUUCUCAGGUGAUGCUUCAUCUUCCCCCAUGUGCCCUGACACCCCUUGAUGUGUCUAUAAAUACAAACAGCAGGAGGCCCGAAUUACUAGACAAAGCAGGCAGCCACAACCUGUUCUUCUUCCCAAUGGCCACUGGGGCAGUUCCUUUCCCCCAAAACUUGUUGUUUAUAUUUAUUUUACCCUAAAGCUAUUUUAACAUAAACCUAUUGAAAUAGGAGAGGGCUUCCCAUCUGAUACCUCCACAGACAUGUCUUUUCUAGAACAAGUUUAAGACUAAUCGUAAAACGAAAAUACGCUGGGUGCGGUAGUUCAUGCCUGUAAUCCCAGCACUUUGGGAGGCCAAGGCGGGUGGAUCACAAGUUUAGGAGUUUGAGACCAGCCUGACCAACAUAGUGAAACCCCAUCUCUACUAAAAAUACAAAAAUUAGCCGGGCAUGGUGGCGUGCGUCUGUAGUCCCAGCUACUCAGGAGGUUGAGUCAGGAGAAUCACUUGAACCCAGGAGGCAGAGGUUGUGGUGAGCCAAGAUCCUGCCAUUGCACUCCAACCUGGGCAACAGAGCGAGUCUCUGCCUCCACGCUCCGCCCGUCAAAAAAAGGAAAACAGAUUUCCACAAAGUUGUUCUUUAUAAUCUAAUUUUUUUUUUCUGACAGGCAGCUUAAUACUUCAAAGGGCAACCCGUUCCUUUAUUGGAUACAACUAAUUGUUUGAGAUUUUCUUCAGCCUGAGUUGAAAUUUUUCUUCCUUCAUCAAAGUGAAGGAAGGACCUUGUAUACAAGGAAGGUCUUUGUAUAAAGGACCUACCUAUCGUGAAGGUACCAUCUCUCUUUAAACUUUAUCUCCCAAAGGAGAAAUAUCUAUAGCCACACAAUUCAUGUACAUUUUAGUCAUUGGGUCUCUAUGACUAUUAUCAUUAUAGAAAAUAUUCUAAUAUAAUAAUAAUUUGAAAACUGGAUUUUAAGAAUUCAAAUUUAGAAAUAGCAGUUUUCUCAAGAGACUCAUUCAUGAAUAUGGAAAGAUCCUUUAUCAAGUAAUCCCCCCCGGGGGUCCUUUAAAUAGCAAUCUUCUUCAUUUUGAUUCAAUUUGUAGAAAUCCCAUUUAGAUGCAUUACUGGACCACCACAUUGUGUAAAGGAAGGUAAAUUGUGUGUUGGGUAACCAUUUGGCUCUCUCUUUCUUCCCAACUUGUGACUAAUUGAUUUUGCCAUUAAUUGGGAUUUCCCCUAGAGACCAUUUGAUCUGUUUGCAGGAUGAGCAGGGAAUUAGGGCAGCCCCUCCAGAUGGGAUGGCUUUCAAUAAGCAGACAGUGCAAAGGGGCAUCAGAGUGAUACAGAAACGAUUAAUUGAAUAACUCACUUGAAAAUCAUGUGCUGCUUUAAAGACCCACAAGCUAAGUAAAUACCUAGGUAAAGACUUUACUGAUCAAGUAAGGCUCCCUGUUGUCGCCUGGUUGAGAACAACGCCAGGAAAAAAAAAAUUUAAGAGCAUCCCAUGAGUGGAUACUAUAAAAUAUAGGAAGCGCAAUUCUAGGCAAUAACAUACUAUAAUCCUGAUAACACUCACAUUCACACUCUACAUAAUUUAUGAAGCAUUCUCACAGAUACUGUUGCACAUCUCACACUGACAUAGGGGGUGGGUUGGCUGUGAAAGGGCUAAACUGGACUUACAUUCCAGGAGCAGAAACAGGCUUGGAGCUGUGGACCUCUCAAAGGCACAGAACUAGUAAGUGGCAGAAAUAGUGCUAGAACCCAAAACUUCUGAUUCUAAAUUUCUUAACAACACACAGCACCAUCUCCCCAGUGCACCACAGCUAAAACCACCUUAUUGGACUCUUGUUUUACUCUGGAGAAGAAUGCAUACUGACUGAGGACUCUGCUCCAUGCCUGCUAAAAUAUCUGACAUUUGAGGACACAGAUUGCUAGAUUGUGUCAAGCAAGAUUGCUACCUGCCCAAAGCAUCUAAGUCCUGGGAUACAUGCCUGCAUUAUUUUCUGAUAUUUCUAAAGCAGUGGAUUCCUUUCUAUGGGCCGUGAAGAGAGGGUCCUCCAUGGAAUGUGCUGAAGGGAUUCAUGCAUCCUUGAACCAUCAAGUCUUGCCUAUGGAGGGACUGAAUGUACAAAUGGGCAAUGGGCAAUGGCCAGACCAUAUAUAAAAGUAGAACUUGAACCCCAAACUUGCAGCAGCCUACCCAGGAAACCAACCUCCUUAUCCACAAUAACCAGCCCAGAACGCCAGCUUACUCUAAGUCAGACUUGCAGGAAGCCAGAAUUGCUAUCCCUAGUAACAAACCGGGACACUAAACAAUAACUUCUGUAACAAUUGACCCAAAAUGGCAGGAUUUGAUUAAUAGCCGACAGCCUUCCUGAUUUUUGUCCCUGUUUCCAAUUCAGGUUCAACCAGAGAAAGCAAGAGAUGCACCCUAAUCAAUCACAUAGGAUGCCCCACUUCUGGGUAACUGGCUCCAGCUUCCCCAGGACAACAGCACCCAAUCAAGGCACACUGAAACCUUCCCUUUUUCCCAUUUGAUAGGUUUUCCCACUUCUCUUCCUGCUUUUGAGUCUCUUUAAGAAUGAGGAUUUGGUGUUUGACUCCCUUGCUAUAGCGAGCUUAGAAUAAAUAGCUUUUGCUUUUCUCAUUUGGUUUGUCUUUGUUUAUGUCCACAGUAUAAAUCUGAGAAAUUGUAUGUCUCAUUCAUACAUAUACCCUUCUCUCCAAAUAUUUGUAGCUACUGUUGUGAUGUACAAAACACAAAUUCAGUUAGAAUGCACAAUGCCUAGCCUGUGGAACCACUAACAUUUUACUUUGUGGUAUGAUGCAUUAACCCCCUGCAUUAAUAAAGAAUAAAGUGCAUUUAUAAGUACUAGUUUUUAAAAAUACUAAGUGUAAAAGCACAUUGCGAAGCAGCACUUAUAUUAUUAUCCCAAAUUGUAGACACAGUAACAAAUAUCAUGGUGGCAAAGAAAACGAGUUCUGGAGCUCAGUUGCUGAGAUUUGAACCCUGUUGAACAACUUGCUUCGUUGGACCAUGUGCAAGUUUAUUUGCUGUUCUGUGAGCCUCAGUUUUCUCUUUUGUCAAAUGGAAUCUAAUAAUCCUAUGUCAGGAACGUGAUGUGAGGAUUAAAUUAAAAAUAUAGGCAAGAUAUAAAGCACGUGGCAAGUACUUUGCUCAUUGCAAUAUUACCUACUAACGCUACUGUGAUCAUACAAUAUGCAGAAAAUGAUCCAGAAAAGACACAAGAGCAGUUGUUGGUGACAGUUAUCUCAAUGGGUGGCAUAAUGAGGGACUCCAACAUUCUACAUGAUACAUUUCUGUAUUAUUUGUAGUAUUUUUACAAGUAUGUGUUAGUUUUAUACAGAUAAAUACAAUUUUAAAUGGUUAAAAAUGUUCUCGUAUUUAAAAAGCACAUUGGGAGCCUUUGUGUUAAAUUAUGCAGUGCAGACACAGAGAACCAAAAGGCUAUGUGUGGUGGGAAUAGUGAGGUAGGAUGAGAACUUUCUAGAAAAGGAGAGAAAGGAGAGAUCCUAUGGAGCCGAGCUGGGAACCAGGCUGGAGAGGAGAGGGAAUAGCUGUUCAGGAGCAGCUGUGUAUGUAAACUAGACACAAGACUCUAUUUUAUCUAGAGUUUUCCUUUUCUUGCCUUUACAAGCCCUCUUCCACUACCUCUAGCAGUCAGCUUUAUCCCCUGAGAGGAUUUAGGGAAAUGGAAGGAGAGGUACUGACUUUGUCUACCUCAUAAGAAGGGGACAAAGGGAACUAUUAUCCUGACCUUUCUAUCUCUCCAGGAAAUGGGUGUCUACCUCCUCUUUGCAUUGUUUACUAAGAAGUGCUAUUCAAGUGAUUCUUCCUAGAAUAGUGAAAGAUGUUUCUAGAAGGCUUGCUUUCUCCCUGACACAGAGAAGCAGCCAGGAAUUCAAUUCUUAAAUAUCAAGCUUUUAAAGAAAAUUCCAUUUCACCAGGCAAUCUACCAUGCACGUGAGAACAGCAGCUGCUUCAUAUACCGGUUGUAAGAUGUGAUCCAGACGGUGUAGUGAAGCUGUUCACACAGGGGCAGGCACAAGGUAGGCACACCUUGGAUAUUCGUGUCUUAGUCUGUCUUCUGCUGCUGUAACAGAAUACCUGUGAUGAAUUAAUUUAUAAACAAUAGAAGUUUAUUUGGCUCACAGUUCCAGAGGCUGGAAAGCGUAAGAGCACGGUGCCUGCGUCUGGGGAGGGCCUUCGUGUUGUGUCAUCUCAUGGCAGAAGGUGGAAGGCAAGAAAGGGUGACAGUGAGCAAGUAAGAGGAGACCAGACUCACUUUUAGAACAAAGCUACUCUUGAGAUAAAGAACCCACUCCUGUGAUAACAAUGUUAAUUCAUUCUUGAGGUCAGAGCCCUCUGACCUAACCACCUUUUAUUAGGUCCCCACCUCCCAAAAACUGUUGCAUGGGACUAAAUUUCCAAUACAUGAAUUUGGGGGGACACAUGCAAACAAUAGCAAUUUACAAAUAAUGGCCAAAACGUGUUGAGGAUUUAACUGGUGAACCCAAGAGCUGAAAUGGGGCUCCAGCCAGCCUUUGCCUUCAAGAGGCAUAUUAGUCUAUUCUUAUGCUACUAAUAAAGACAUACUCAAGACUGAGUAAUUUAUAAAGAAAAAGAGAUUUAAUGGACUGGGAAGCUGGUCUUGUUUUCUGUUCAAAUCUUCAACUCAUUGGAUGAGGCCCACCCAUAUCAUGAAGAGCAAUCUCCUUUACUCAGAGUUCACCAACUUAAUGUUAAUCUCACCCAGAAACAUCCUCUAAGUUGACACAUCAAGUUAAUCAUCACAAUCCUGAAUGGAUUCCAGGGUCCUGCUUUGGUUUCCCGUGUUGUUGUACCUGGAAAAUUACCUAAGGGUCUGACCCACUUAUGAACCCUGCCUUCUAAGUUUCAUUGCUUAAACAAAGGCAAGUAGGAUAAAGAGAGGAGUAGAAGUGGCUGCAAAAUGAACGUUAGUGCACACUGACUAUCUAAUGGUUUAGUCCAUUACACUGCGUCCAAUAAGUGAGCUAUUAGGCAGCCGAUACAAUCAUAAUUAUGAAGGCUGUGUGGAAACAGGAUUGUUUUAAGUUUAAUAUGAGAUGAAAGAAAGCAGAAAAAAAUUGCAAAUAUAGUUAUGACUGUGUGAUGUGUAUUAUGUAGUCAGAUUAGACAGGAAUAAAACAAAAUGGAAAUUGUCACAUUGAGAUGACAAAAUUACUUAUUUAUUUAACAACUACAUGUUAGGUGUUGUCUGCUACAUGCCAAGCACAGUUCUAAGCCUUCAACUUUCUGUCUCUACAGAUCUGCCUACUCCUGACAUUGCAUAGAAAUAGAAUAAUAGAGGCCGGGAGCAGUGGCUCCCAGCACUUUGGGAGGCCAAGCGAAGACAUGUGAAGAAACAACUGUGAGAUUUUUUUCUCUUUAAAAAUUUGCCUAAUACCCACUAGAAUAGUCAUAGUUUUAAAAAUGGACAAUAAUAAGUGCUAAUGCGGAUGUAUGUAGAGAAAUUAGAACUCUCAGACAUUACUGGUAGGCAUAAAAAUGGUACAGUCUCUUUGGAAAAUAAGUAUGCAAUGUCCAGGGCAGGCAAAUAAAUCCCUAGAGACAGAAAGUGGAUUUGCAGUUGUUAAGAGCUGGGGGAGUGGGGAGGAGAGACCAGGGAGUGCCUGCUAAAUGGCAUGGGGUUCUUCUUGGAGGUGAUGAAAAUAUUCUGGAAUUAGUGGUGCUAAUUGUACAACUCUGUGGCUAAUUAUACACUGUGAAAGGGUGAAUUUUAUGGUAGUGAAUCAUAUAGCAAUAUAGCUGUUAUUAACAAUGGCCUAAUGGUGUUGUUAUGUUGCUUUUACAAAUAA